rnacentral:rRNA from 1 species
GUCCCCAUCUAAGUGCCCUGGAACGGGACGUCAUAGAGGGUGAGAAUCCCGUAUGGGAUGGGGUGUCCGCGCCCGUGUGAAGCUCCUUCGACGAGUCGAGUUGUUUGGGAAUGCAGCUCUAAAUGGGUGGUAAAUUUCAUCUAAAGCUAAAUAUUGGCCGGAGACCGAUAGCGCACAAGUAGAGUGAUCGAAAGAUGAAAAGCACUUUGAAAAGAGAGUUAAAAAGCACGUGAAAUUGUUGAAAGGGAAGCGCUUGCGACCAGACUCGCUCGCGGGGUUCAGCCGGCAUUCGUGCCGGUGUAUUUCCCCGCGGGCGGGCCAGCGUCGGUUUGGGCGGUCGGUCAAAGGCCCUCGGAAGGUAACGCCCCUAGGGGCGUCUUAUAGCCGAGGGUGCAAUGCGACCUGCCUAGACCGAGGAACGCGCUUCGGCUCGGACGCUGGCAUAAUGGUCGUAAGCGACCCGUCUUGAAACACGGACC